rnacentral:rRNA from 1 species
AUACGUAGGUGGCAAGCGUUGUCCGGAAUUAUUGGGCGUAAAGCGCAUGUAGGCGGUGCCUUAAGUCUGUCGUGAAACUACGGGGCCUAACCCCGUAUGGCGAUGGAAACUGUGGCACUUGAGUGCAGGAGAGGACAGGGGAACUCCCAGUGUAGCGGUGCAAUGCGUAGAUAUUGGGAAGAACACCGGUGGCGAAGGCGCCUUUCUGGACUGUGUCUGACGCUGAGAUGCGAAAGCCAGGGUAGCGAACGGGAUUAGAUACCCCGGUAGUCCUGGCCGUAAACGAUGGGUACUAGGUGUGGGAGGUAUCGACCCCUUCCGUGCCGGAGUUAACGCAAUAAGUACCCCGCCUGGGGAGUACGGCCGCAAGGCUUAAACUCAAAGGAAUUGACGGGG